rnacentral:lncRNA from 10 species
AAUUCUUGCCCCACAGCAGGCCAAGGCCUUGUGAGGGAUGGAGGGUCACUAAGAUGCACUUCCUGUCCUGAAGACAUUGUCAGUCUCCUGGGGAAGACGGACUUCAAGAGAACAAAGACGAACACUGGAUCCCUACUGGAUUUGGAGGUCUACAGAGAGGGCUGCAUUUUGUCCAGAAUUUGGAAGGUUAUCAGACACAGGGGCCAGGGGGGACUUACAGGGAUGAGAGAGAAAGCAAGGAUGUGUAUGUGUGUGCAAAUGUGACUGUGUGUUAGACGGCAAUGGGAACUGAAGGCUGUGGG